UGGGGAAUAUUGGACAAUGGGCGCAAGCCUGAUCCAGCAAUGCCGCGUGGGUGAAGAAGGUCUUCGGAUUGUAAAGCCCUUUCGGCGGGGACGAUGAUGACGGUACCCGCAGAAGAAGCCCCGGCUAACUUCGUGCCAGCAGCCGCGGUAAUACGAAGGGGGCUAGCGUUGCUCGGAAUUACUGGGCGUAAAGGGCGCGUAGGCGGCCUUGUAAGUCAGGCGUGAAAUUCCUGGGCUCAACCUGGGGGCUGCGCUUGAGACUGCGAGGCUUGAGGACGGAAGAGGCUCGUGGAAUUCCCAGUGUAGAGGUGAAAUUCGUAGAUAUUGGGAAGAACACCGGUGGCGAAGGCGGCGAGCUGGUCCGUUACUGACGCUGAGGCGCGACAGCGUGGGGAGCAAA
rnacentral:rRNA from 1 species